AAAAAGCUAACUGAAAGUAUUGAGAAAUCAGGAGUGGAGAAUAUAUGAAGAAACACAAAUUAUUUGCUCUACCAUUUUGCAAAUUGUCUAACCUGUGCUUAAGGGAGAGAAGGCAAAGAGGGUCUGACAUCAUUUUUUCUCCUUUAAGCAGGUGCAAACCUCUCUGUCACAUAUUGUUUACUUAAGACACGUAUAUCCGAUGAAUCUGCUAACAUCCAGAUUAUAGUUUUCAGAGACAAAUAUUAAACAGAUGGAUUUGAAGAAAUUCAGAAAUUAAGAAAGGCUUGGAGCUUCUAGUCUAC
rnacentral:lncRNA from 1 species